GGUAUACUCCCUCCGUCCGAAAAUACUUGUCAUCAAAAUGGAUAAAAAGAGAUGUAUCUAGAACUAAAAUACGUCUAGAUACAUCCUCUUUUAUUUAUUUUGAUGACAAGUAUUUCCGGACGGAGGGAGUACUAU
rnacentral:pre_miRNA from 1 species